rnacentral:rRNA from 1 species
ACGAACGCUGGCGGCGUGCUUAACACAUGCAAGUCGAACGGAAAGGCCCUGCUUUUGUGGGGUGCUCGAGUGGCGAACGGGUGAGUAACACGUGAGUAACCUGCCCUUGACUUUGGGAUAACUUCAGGAAACUGGGGCUAAUACCGGAUAGGAGCUCCUGCUGCAUGGUUGGGGUUUGAAAGUUUCGGCGGUUGGGGAUGGACUCGCGGCUUAUCAGCUUGUUGGUGGGGUAGUGGCUUACCAAGGCUUUGACGGGUAGCCGGCCUGAGAGGGUGACCGGCCACAUUGGGACUGAGAUACGGCCCAGACUCCUACGGGAGGCAGCAGUGGGGAAUAUUGCACAAUGGGCGGAAGCCUGAUGCAGCAACGCCGCGUGCGGGAUGACGGCCUUCGGGUUGUAAACCGCUUUCGCCUGUGACGAAGCGUGAGUGACGGUAAUGGGUAAAGAAGCACCGGCUAACUACGUG